rnacentral:rRNA from 1 species
GACGAACGCUGGCGGCGUGCCUAAUACAUGCAAGUCGAACGCUUCUUUCCUCCCGAGUGCUUGCACUCAAUUGGAAAGAGGAGUGGCGGACGGGUGAGUAACACGUGGGUAACCUACCCAUCAGAGGGGGAUAACACUUGGAAACAGGUGCUAAUACCGCAUAACAGUUUAUGCCGCAUGGCAUAAGAGUGAAAGGCGCUUUCGGGUGUCGCUGAUGGAUGGACCCGCGGUGCAUUAGCUAGUUGGUGAGGUAGCGGCUCACCAAGGCCACGAUGCAUAGCCGACCUGAGAGGGUGAUCGGCCUCACUGGGACUGAGCCACGGCCCAGACUCCUACGGGAGGCAGCAGUAGGGAAUCUUCGGCAAUGGACGAAAGUCUGACCGAGCAACGCCGCGUGAGUGAAGAAGGUUUUCGGAUCGUAAAACUCUGUUGUUAGUGAAGAACAAGGACGUUAGUAACUGAACGUCCCCUGACGGUAUCUAACCAGAAAGCCACGGCUAACUACGUG